rnacentral:rRNA from 1 species
CCUACGGGUGGCAGCAGUGGGGAAUAUUGGACAAUGGGGGGAACCCUGAUCCAGCCAUGCCGCGUGUGUGAAGAAGGCCCUCGGGUUGUAAAGCACUUUCAGUGAGGAAGAACGCCUGGUGGUUAAUACCCAUCAGGAAAGACAUCACUCACAGAAGAAGCACCGGCUAACUCCGUGCCAGCAGCCGCGGUAAUACGGAGGGUGCGAGCGUUAAUCGGAAUUACUGGGCGUAAAGCGCGCGUAGGUGGCUUGAUAAGCCGGUUGUGAAAGCCCCGGGCUCAACCUGGGAACGGCAUCCGGAACUGUCAAGCUAGAGUGCCGGAGAGGAAGGUAGAAUUCCCGGUGUAGCGGUGAAAUGCGUAGAGAUCGGGAGGAAUACCAGUGGCGAAGGCGGCCUUCUGGACUGACACUGACACUGAGGUGCGAAAGCGUGGGUAGCAAACAGGAUUAGAUACCCUAGUAGUC